rnacentral:rRNA from 1 species
CGAUGAGUAGGGCGGGACACGUGGUAUCCUGUCUGAAUAUGGGGGGACCAUCCUCCAAGGCUAAAUACUCCUGACUGACCGAUAGUGAACCAGUACCGUGAGGGAAAGGCGAAAAGAACCCCGGCGAGGGGAGUGAAAAAGAACCUGAAACCGUGUACGUACAAGCAGUGGGAGCACGCUUAGGCGUGUGACUGCGUACCUUUUGUAUAAUGGGUCAGCGACUUAUAUUCUGUAGCAAGGUUAACCGAAUAGGGGAGCCGAAGGGAAACCGAGUCUUAACUGGGCGUUAAGUUGCAGGGUAUAGACCCGAAACCCGGUGAUCUAGCCAUGGGCAGGUUGAAGGUUGGGUAACACUAACUGGAGGACCGAACCGACUAAUGUUGAAAAAUUAGCGGAUGACUUGUGGCUGGGGGUGAAAGGCCAAUCAAACCGGGAGAUAGCUGGUUCUCCCCGAAAGCUAUUUAGGUAGCGCCUCGUGAAUUCAUCUCCGGGGGUAGAGCACUGUUUCGGCAAGGGGGUCAUCCCGACUUACCAACCCGAUGCAAACUGCGAAUACCGGAGAAUGUUAUCACGGGAGACACACGGCGGGUGCUAACGUCCGUCGUGAAGAGGGAAACAACCCAGACCGCCAGCUAAGGUCCCAAAGUCAUGGUUAAGUGGGAAACGAUGUGGGAAGGCCCAGACAGCCAGGAUGUUGGCUUAGAAGCAGCCAUCAUUUAAAGAAAGCGUAAUAGCUCACUGGUCGAGUCGGCCUGCGCGGAAGAUGUAACGGGGCUAAACCAUGCACCGAAGCUGCGGCAGCGACGCUUAUGCGUUGUUGGGUAGGGGAGCGUUCUGUAAGCCUGCGAAGGUGUGCUGUGAGGCAUGCUGGAGGUAUCAGAAGUGCGAAUGCUGACAUAAGUAACGAUAAAGCGGGUGAAAAGCCCGCUCGCCGGAAGACCAAGGGUUCCUGUCCAACGUUAAUCGGGGCAGGGUGAGUCGACCCCUAAGGCGAGGCCGAAAGGCGUAGUCGAUGGGAAACAGGUUAAUAUUCCUGUACUUGGUGUUACUGCGAAGGGGGGACGGAGAAGGCUAUGUUGGCCGGGCGACGGUUGUCCCGGUUUAAGCGUGUAGGCUGGUUUUCCAGGCAAAUCCGGAAAAUCAAGGCUGAGGCGUGAUGACGAGGCACUACGGUGCUGAAGCAACAAAUGCCCUGCUUCCAGGAAAAGCCUCUAAGCAUCAGGUAACAUCAAAUCGUACCCCAAACCGACACAGGUGGUCAGGUAGAGAAUACCAAGGCGCUUGAGAGAACUCGGGUGAAGGAACUAGGCAAAAUGGUGCCGUAACUUCGGGAGAAGGCACGCUGAUAUGUAGGUGAAGUCCCUCGCGGAUGGAGCUGAAAUCAGUCGAAGAUACCAGCUGGCUGCAACUGUUUAUUAAAAACACAGCACUGUGCAAACACGAAAGUGGACGUAUACGGUGUGACGCCUGCCCGGUGCCGGAAGGUUAAUUGAUGGGGUUAGCCGCAAGGCGAAGCUCUUGAUCGAAGCCCCGGUAAACGGCGGCCGUAACUAUAACGGUCCUAAGGUAGCGAAAUUCCUUGUCGGGUAAGUUCCGACCUGCACGAAUGGCGUAAUGAUGGCCAGGCUGUCUCCACCCGAGACUCAGUGAAAUUGAACUCGCUGUGAAGAUGCAGUGUACCCGCGGCAAGACGGAAAGACCCCGUGAACCUUUACUAUAGCUUGACACUGAACAUUGAGCCUUGAUGUGUAGGAUAGGUGGGAGGCUUUGAAGUGUGGACGCCAGUCUGCAUGGAGCCGACCUUGAAAUACCACCCUUUAAUGUUUGAUGUUCUAACGUUGACCCGUAAUCCGGGUUGCGGACAGUGUCUGGUGGGUAGUUUGACUGGGGCGGUCUCCUCCUAAAGAGUAACGGAGGAGCACGAAGGUUGGCUAAUCCUGGUCGGACAUCAGGAGGUUAGUGCAAUGGCAUAAGCCAGCUUGACUGCGAGCGUGACGGCGCGAGCAGGUGCGAAAGCAGGUCAUAGUGAUCCGGUGGUUCUGAAUGGAAGGGCCAUCGCUCAACGGAUAAAAGGUACUCCGGGGAUAACAGGCUGAUACCGCCCAAGAGUUCAUAUCGACGGCGGUGUUUGGCACCUCGAUGUCGGCUCAUCACAUCCUGGGGCUGAAGUAGGUCCCAAGGGUAUGGCUGUUCGCCAUUUAAAGUGGUACGCGAGCUGGGUUUAGAACGUCGUGAGACAGUUCGGUCCCUAUCUGCCGUGGGCGCUGGAGAACUGAGGGGGGCUGCUCCUAGUACGAGAGGACCGGAGUGGACGCAUCACUGGUGUUCGGGUUGUCAUGCCAAUGGCACUGCCCGGUAGCUAAAUGCGGAAGAGAUAAGUGCUGAAAGCAUCUAAGCACGAAACUUGCCCCGAGAUGAGUUCUCCCUGACUCCUUGAGAGUCCUGAAGGAACGUUGAAGACGACGACGUUGAUAGGCCGGGUGUGUAAGCGCAGCGAUGCGUUGAGCUAACCGGUACUAAUGAACCGUGAGGCUUAACC